rnacentral:rRNA from 1 species
AUACGGAGGAUCCGAGCGUUAUCCGGAUUUAUUGGGUUUAAAGGGUGCGCAGGCGGCCAUUUAAGUCAGCGGUUAAAUCGUGGGGCUCAACCCCAUUCUGCCGUUGAUACUGGGUGGCUUGAUUGCGGUCGAGGUUGGCGGAAUUCGUUGUGUAGCGGUGAAAUGCAUAGAUAUGACGAAGAACACCGAUUGCGUAGGCAGCAGACCAGACCGCAAAUGACGCUCAUGCACGAAAGUGCGGGGAUCGAACAGGAUUAGAUACCCUGGUAGUCCGCACAGUAAACGAUGAAUACUUGUUUUCGGCGAUAUAAUGUCGGAGGCAAAGCGAAAGCGAUAAGUAUUCCACCUGGGGAGUACGCCGGCAACGGUGAAACUCAAAGGAAUUGACGUGG